ACCAGCACGAUGUUAGUCGCACACGACACGCGAUAUUCAAUGACAGUAUACCUUUAGAAUGAGAAUAUCGAUCAUACAGAUGUCAGCACAGAUGAUAGAACAGAGGCAUCCCCAUAAGUUAAUUAUCACCGGUUUUGGACCAUGGUGAACCUUUGGAAAUACGCGGCUGAGUAGGGACUCGUCUGAUACGCAAAAGAUUGGAAACCUUAUUUUUUCUUCGUUAAUCUCGCUGAGGAUGACCCCAAGAGAUCGAAACGUUUGAGUGUACAGCAAGUCAAAUACAAUUUAUAUAUACAUAUAACCAAUAAUUGUGUUUAAUUAAGUACCGCACCGAACUUUCAUUUCCUACAUUAUUUUAAUUUCGAGAGUAACUAGUAAUUCUUAAAAAUUAAAA